rnacentral:rRNA from 1 species
UGAGACAGGUGCUGCAUGGCUGUCGUCAGCUCGUGUUGUGAAAUGUUGGGUUAAGUCCCGCAACGAGCGCAACCCUUAUCCUUUGUUGCCAGCGAUUCGGUCGGGAACUCAAAGGAGACUGCCGGUGAUAAACCGGAGGAAGGUGGGGAUGACGUCAAGUCAUCAUGGCCCUUACGAGUAGGGCUACACACGUGCUACAAUGGCGCAUACAAAGAGAAGCGACCUCGCGAGAGCAAGCGGACCUCAUAAAGUGCGUCGUAGUCCGGAUCGGAGUCUGCAACUCGACUCCGUGAAGUCGGAAUCGCUAGUAAUCGUGGAUCAGAAUGCCACGGUGAAUACGUUCCCGGGCCUUGUACACACCGCCCGUCACACCAUGGGAGUGGGUUGCAAAAGAAGUAGGUAGCUUAACCUUCCGGGAGGGCGCUUACCACU